rnacentral:tRNA from 1 species
AGGGCAGUAGUUAACUAUAACAUUUGAUUUGCAUUCAAAAAGUGCCAAAUAGGCCUGCCUU